AAAGGAAUUGACGGGGGCCCGCACAAGCAGAGGAGCAUGUGGCUUAAUUCGAUGCAACGCGAAGAACCUUACCCGGGUUUGACAUGUAACUGCUAAUCCUAUGAAAGUAGGACUCCUUCGAGGGUGUUACACAGGUGCUGCAUGGCUGUCGUCAGUUCGUGCCGUGAGGUGUUUGGUUAAGUCCAGCAACGAACGCAACCCUUGUGUCCUGUUGCCAUCAAGUAAAGUUGGGGACUCAGGACAGACUGCCCGUUUACGCGGGAGGAAGGUGGGGAUGACGUCAAGUCAGUAUGGCCCUUACAUCCGGGGCUGCACACGUGCUACAAUGGUCGGUACAAUGGGAAGCUAAGCUGCAAAGCCAUGCCAAUCUCCAAAGCCGGCCUCAGUUCGGAUUGGGGUCUGCAACCCGACCCCAUGAAGUCGGAUUUGCUAGUAACGGCGUAUCAGCUACGACGCCGUGAAUACGUUCCCGGGCCUUGUACACACCGCCCGU
rnacentral:rRNA from 1 species